CUAAGUGCGUUGUAAAGAGUGGGCGAAGAGCGAGCAAUAUCUGUGAGAUUACCUGUUGUGACCUGGACUGUCGGACUACAUCCCUUGUGUACCGGACCGGAUUGGCUGAGGAGCUGAGUGUGAGGAUUACUUCUGGAAAACAGAAUGAAAAACGGCUUGUGGACUGUGAGAUGGAGAGGAGAGGCAGGAGAUGGCUCCCCUGGCGAAUGAACUCCAGGCAACACCGGCCAGUCGGAUAACAACAAGAUGGAGACCCAUCCAACAUGUGUGAACAUCGUCCAGCCACUUCUGUAAAAAAGGCACACAGAAGACAUGUGAGUGGAUGAUUCACCCGCCACAGCAGGAGAUGAGGCAGGACCUCAAAGAUGGGUUGGUUGUUUAGCUGCUCACCGGUCAGUUAUGUUGCUAUCGGGCAAAACAGAUGAUGGUGACGUAGAUUGUUGAC